rnacentral:lncRNA from 1 species
UUGAAAUGGACAAGAGAGAUGGCAAGUUUGGUCCUCAACCAAUGGCGGUGCCACCAGUGCAGCACAUGUCACGACUAGAUCAGCCUUACCCACCAACUGUUGGAUAUCCUCCUCCAGCGUAUGGGGCAGCUUAUGGUCAACCACCUCCUCAACAAGCAUAUGGUCAACCACCUCCUCAACAAGGUUAUCCAGCUCCUGCCUAUCCACCUGCUGGUUAUCCUGCAUCCGGUUAUCCUCCUCCUGGCUAUCAGAAGUGAUAUUUCAAAGGAUUUGGUGCGUCUUUCUAUUAUCAAAAGAAAGCCGGACAUGAGUAGCAUAGGAUGAAUGGAGUGCGGAUUUGUAUAGACCCCUUGCUGAAUGGCAGCUAUAAUUGAACUUGUGUGUGCUGAGAUUGUCUGUGUAGAUUUUCGUCCCGGUAAGUCUGUUCAGCUUGAACGAUGAAAAUGACAUCACUGUGCAUCCUACAACCAAAUUUAAUUGGUGUUUGGAUUUGAAAUUGUUCUGUGUUGUGUCAAGCUCACAAAUUCAUUUGAAUUGCUGUUAUAUGCUAUACUUGUUUCAUGAAAUGCAUAUUUUGGUUUUCUGUGC